rnacentral:rRNA from 1 species
UAAGUUAGAAAGGGCACACGGUGGAUGCCUUGACACUAGGAGUCGAUGAAGGACGGGACUAACGCCGAUAUGCUUCGGGGAGCUGUAAGUAAGCUUUGAUCCGAAGAUUUCCGAAUGGGGAAACCCACCAUACGUAAUGGUAUGGUAUCCUUAUCUGAAUACAUAGGGUAAGGAAGACAGACCCAGGGAACUGAAACAUCUAAGUACCUGGAGGAAGAGAAAGCAAAUGCGAUUUCCUGAGUAGCGGCGAGCGAAACGGAACAUAGCCCAAACCAAGAGGCUUGCCUCUUGGGGUUGUAGGACAUUCUAUACGGAGUUACAAAGGAACGAGGUAGACGAAGCGACCUGGAAAGGUCCGUCGUAGAGGGUAACAACCCCGUAGUCGAAACUUCGUUCUCUCUUGAAUGUAUCCUGAGUACGGCGGAACACGUGAAAUUCCGUCGGAAUCUGGGAGGACCAUCUCCCAAGGCUAAAUACUCCCUAGUGAUCGAUAGUGAACCAGUACCGUGAGGGAAAGGUGAAAAGCACCCCGGAAGGGGAGUGAAAGAGAUCCUGAAACCGUGUGCCUACAAAUAGUCAGAGCCCGUUAACGGGUGAUGGCGUGCCUUUUGUAGAAUGAACCGGCGAGUUACGAUCCCGUGCGAGGUUAAGCUGAAGAGGCGGAGCCGCAGCGAAAGCGAGUCUGAAUAGGGCGUUUAGUACGUGGUCGUAGACCCGAAACCAGGUGAUCUACCCAUGUCCAGGGUGAAGUUCAGGUAACACUGAAUGGAGGCCCGAACCCACGCACGUUGAAAAGUGCGGGGAUGAGGUGUGGGUAGCGGAGAAAUUCCAAUCGAACCUGGAGAUAGCUGGUUCUCCCCGAAAUAGCUUUAGGGCUAGCCUUAAGUGUAAGAGUCUUGGAGGUAGAGCACUGAUUGGACUAGGGGUCCUCAUCGGAUUACCGAAUUCAGUCAAACUCCGAAUGCCAAUGACUUAUCCUUAGGAGUCAGACUGCGAGUGAUAAGAUCCGUAGUCAAAAGGGAAACAGCCCAGACCGCCAGCUAAGGUCCCAAAGUGUGUAUUAAGUGGAAAAGGAUGUGGAGUUGCUUAGACAACUAGGAUGUUGGCUUAGAAGCAGCCACCAUUUAAAGAGUGCGUAAUAGCUCACUAGUCGAGUGACUCUGCGCCGAAAAUGUACCGGGGCUAAAUACACCACCGAAGCUGCGGAUUGAUACCAAUGGUAUCAGUGGUAGGGGAGCGUUCUAAGGACAGUGAAGUCAGACCGGAAGGACUGGUGGAGUGCUUAGAAGUGAGAAUGCCGGUAUGAGUAGCGAAAGACGGGUGAGAAUCCCGUCCACCGAAUGCCUAAGGUUUCCUGAGGAAGGCUCGUCCGCUCAGGGUUAGUCAGGACCUAAGCCGAGGCCGACAGGCGUAGGCGAUGGACAACAGGUUGAUAUUCCUGUACCACCUCUUUAUCGUUUGAGCAAUGGAGGGACGCAGAAGGAUAGAAGAAGCGUGCGAUUGGUUGUGCACGUCCAAGCAGUUAGGCUGAUAAGUAGGCAAAUCCGCUUAUCGUAAAGGCUGAGCUGUGAUGGGGAAGCUCCUUAUGGAGCGAAGUCUUUGAUUCCCCGCUGCCAAGAAAAGCUUCUAGCGAGAUAAAAGGUGCCUGUACCGCAAACCGACACAGGUAGGCGAGGAGAGAAUCCUAAGGUGUGCGAGAGAACUCUGGUUAAGGAACUCGGCAAAAUGACCCCGUAACUUCGGGAGAAGGGGUGCUUUCUUAACGGAAAGCCGCAGUGAAUAGGCCCAAGCGACUGUUUAGCAAAAACACAGCUCUCUGCGAAGCCGUAAGGCGAAGUAUAGGGGGUGACACCUGCCCGGUGCUGGAAGGUUAAGGAGAGGGGUUAGCGUAAGCGAAGCUCUGAACUGAAGCCCCAGUAAACGGCGGCCGUAACUAUAACGGUCCUAAGGUAGCGAAAUUCCUUGUCGGGUAAGUUCCGACCCGCACGAAAGGUGUAACGAUUUGGGCACUGUCUCAACCAGAGACUCGGUGAAAUUAUAGUACCUGUGAAGAUGCAGGUUACCCGCGACAGGACGGAAAGACCCCGUGGAGCUUUACUGUAGCCUGAUAUUGAAUUUUGGUACAGUUUGUACAGGAUAGGCGGGAGCCUUUGAAACCGGAGCGCUAGCUUCGGUGGAGGCGCUGGUGGGAUACCGCCCUGACUGUAUUGAAAUUCUAACCUACGGGUCUUAUCGACCCGGGAGACAGUGUCAGGUGGGCAGUUUGACUGGGGCGGUCGCCUCCUAAAGUGUAACGGAGGCGCCCAAAGGUUCCCUCAGAAUGGUUGGAAAUCAUUCGUAGAGUGCAAAGGCAUAAGGGAGCUUGACUGCGAGACCUACAAGUCGAGCAGGGACGAAAGUCGGGCUUAGUGAUCCGGUGGUUCCGCAUGGAAGGGCCAUCGCUCAACGGAUAAAAGCUACCCCGGGGAUAACAGGCUUAUCUCCCCCAAGAGUCCACAUCGACGGGGAGGUUUGGCACCUCGAUGUCGGCUCAUCGCAUCCUGGGGCUGUAGUCGGUCCCAAGGGUUGGGCUGUUCGCCCAUUAAAGCGGUACGCGAGCUGGGUUCAGAACGUCGUGAGACAGUUCGGUCCCUAUCCGUCGUGGGCGUAGGAAAUUUGAGAGGAGCUGUCCUUAGUACGAGAGGACCGGGAUGGACGCACCGCUGGUGUACCAGUUGUUCUGCCAAGGGCAUAGCUGGGUAGCUAUGUGCGGAAGGGAUAAGUGCUGAAAGCAUCUAAGCAUGAAGCCCCCCUCAAGAUGAGAUUUCCCAUAGCGUAAGCUAGUAAGAUCCCUGAAAGAUGAUCAGGUUGAUAGGUUCGAGGUGGAAGCAUGGUGACAUGUGGAGCUGACGAAUACUAAUAGAUCGAGGACUUAACCA